CUGAUACCACCUAUAUCUUGUGUAUUGCACCAAUAUUGAUUCGAUCUCCACCUAAGACUAUUAUUUGAAUAAUAAAUAGACAAGGGAUUAGAGCAUGGAACUAUUAAGGGUCAUUUGGUGUCAUUAUUACUGCCUGCUAACUUGAUCCUAGCAAAACAAAUUUUAAAUUUUUUGUUUAAUCUUGUGUUUUAAAUUUUUGGAGCAUAGUGCUCCUGACUGUUUGUAAUUUGACCAAAUCAAAUUGAAUUUUGAUCAUGAAUAUCUCCAUUGAAGUCCUCGAGA
rnacentral:lncRNA from 1 species